rnacentral:Y_RNA from 1 species
GGAUGGUCCAAGUGCAGUGGUGUUUAUAAUUAAUUGAUCGUCACUAGUUACAGAUUCCUUUGUUCCUUUUCCACUCCCACUAUUUCACUUGACUGGCCUUAA